UCAAAAACAUAUCUCUAUGCUAAUAAUAAAUAAGGAGUUGGGCCCGCUUGGGGAAUAUUUUUUAACAGGUGCGGUAUUUUAACUGUACUAAGGUAGCAUAAUAAUUUGCCUUAUAAUUUGAGGGUAGAAUGAAUGGUUUGACGAAGGUUAAUCUGUUUCCGUUUUAUUUUUUAGAAAUUAAUUUUCAUAGUGAAAAAGCUUGAAUUUUUUAAAGGGACGAGAAGACCCUAUUGAGCUUAUAAUUUUAUUACUAUUAUGUUUGUUAAAUUCAUCAUUGUAGUAUAUAAAUUUUAAUUGGGGUGAUUAAGGAAUAAGUUUUUUAUAAUAUAACUUCCUUAGAUUAAUAUAUUGUUAGAUUAAGUAACCGAUGUGAUUAACAUAAUGUAUGUUAUGUAUUGCUUAUAAUAUAGUUACCAUAGGGAUAACAGCGUAAUUUACUUAGAGAGUUCUUAUUGAAAAGUAAGAUUGCGACCUCGAUGUUGGAUUAAAGUAACCUUAAGGUGCAGAAGC
rnacentral:rRNA from 1 species